rnacentral:rRNA from 1 species
UGAUACGCGAGGAACCUUACCUGGGCUCAAAUGUAUGUUGUACGUAUUUCUGAAAGGGAUACUUCUUCGGACAAUAUACAGGUGCUGCAUGGUUGUCGUCAGCUCGUGCCGUGAGGUGUCGGGUUAAGUCCCAUAACGAGCGCAACCCCUAUCAUUAGUUGCCAUCAGGUCAAGCUGGGGACUCUAAUGAAACUGCCUACGCAAGUAGUGAGGAAGGUGGGGAUGACGUCAAAUCAGCACGGCCCUUACGUCCAGGGCUACACACGUGCUACAAUGGCCGGUACAAAGGGCAGCUACCUGGUGACAGGAUGCUAAUCUCAAAAGCCGGUCUCAGUUCGGAUCGGAGUCUGCAACCCGACUCCGCGAAGCUGGAAUCGCUAGUAAUCGCGCAUCAGCCAUGGCGCGGUGAAUACGUUCCCGGGCCUU